AAAGGUGCAUGAGUGGUGUUUGGUUUUGUACAGGUGGUUGGCUCUUUGCUUGCGCAACAACUUCCACCUGGCAUACCUCUUCAGUUUUGGGUCAAUGCUUGUAUCGCAUUGAACGCACGGGGGUUUCUUGUGUUGCAUGCCUAAUUGAUGGUAUCGUUUUGAUGAAUUGAUGUCUCAUUUUCGUCUUGUGUCGCACAUGCGAUGCGAGAUGAACCUUAAAGCAGCCUUUUGUGAUCCACUCUUUUGAUGCACACGCAUUGAUUUUGUGGCUCAUUGAGUGUUUGCUUGGUCUCAUGGAUAUGGAACCUUGUGUGGGCAUGGGAUCUGAUCUUAUCUAGCUCCUUGUUUUGCCCUAGUUAAGCUUUUCAAAUACGAUUUUCCUAUCAUGUUUUACACGUGGGGGUAGGCUAUAUCGAAUAUGAAUGCUACCUGGUUGAUCCUGCCAGUAGUCAUAURBCHCKABBRVAUNUHSAUUHR
rnacentral:misc_RNA from 1 species